UUGACCUCAAAUCAGGUAGGACUACCCGCUGAACUUAAGCAUAUCAAUAAGCGGAGGAAAAGAAACUAACAAGGAUUCCCCUAGUAACUGCGAGUGAAGAGGGAAAAGCUCAAAUUUAAAAUCUGGCAGC
rnacentral:rRNA from 1 species